GGGUGAGUAACGCGUGGGAAUCUGCCUAGUAGUGGGGGAUAGCCCGGGGAAACUCGGAUUAAUACCGCAUACGCCCUACGGGGGAAAGGCCGGGAUCUUCGGACCGGUCGCUAUUGGAUGAGCCUGCGUUGGAUUAGCUAGUUGGUAGGGUAAAGGCCUACCAAGGCGACGAUCCAUAGCUGGUCUGAGAGGAUGAUCAGCCACACUGGAACUGAGACACGGUCCAGACUCC
rnacentral:rRNA from 1 species